CUCUAGGAAUUUCAACACGUCUAGGAAUGACUUUAGAUCACCUAGAACUUAUUUGGCUCAACCUAGGCAUAGGCACAACCCGAACGUGGUAUGUCACUAUUGCAACCGGGUAGGUCACAUAGCACCCGUGUGUUUUUCAAAACAUAGGGAUUUAUCUUUUGGCUAUGAUUAUUAUUAGCCUAACCCCCAAGGACCCAAAAUGGUUUGGGUACCAAAAACCUCUCCAUAGGUAUUUUUGCAGGUGUGCUUGAAGACUACAAUAUUGUAGUAGAUGCACCAAGCACGACACCUUAUUGCAUCAAGGGGAAAUUUCGGUUAGCUAUUCAUUUUGAUUAAACCGAAUUAUGCCAACGAUUAAUAUAAAAAAAAUUGUUGUUAUUUCGGUUCUAAUUGUUGAUAUGUGCCAGCUGUUGAUAUUAACUUAUUGGUUGUUAACUUGAUUCUCACUUUGAAAAAUGUUGAUGUACUUAAUUGUAAGUUGAUAUGUGAGAUUUCAUUGUUGACCAUCCUUGUUGGUUCACAUGCUGAAAAUCUAUUUUUUUUACUAGUAUCAAUUAUUAAAUGAUUGAUCCAUGUUUUGAUAAUUAUUUUUGGUGUUAAAUCAUGUUUUGAUAAUCUAGUUCAAAUGACAAGUGAUAUCAAUUAUGUUUAUUGAUGCAUGUUUUGAUAAAUG
rnacentral:lncRNA from 1 species